rnacentral:misc_RNA from 1 species
GGAAGGAUCAUUAACAAAUCAAAUCAAAGGUGUCUGUGUCUGCGCCGGCGUUUUACUUUUUACGUCUGCUGUUCUUUUGGGACGGGUGGGGGUUGAUGGUUUGACGUUGGCGUUUGACGCUGACCUUGACCAAUGUGAAUAAGGAGCUUGUGCUUGUAGCUUGUGGCUUGUAGCUUGGCUAUAUUGCUUUGCUUCUGAGCAGUGUCGAUUGCGAUUGCAAUUGCGAUUGCAGUUACAAUUGUGAUUGUGAUUGUGAUUGUCAAUGGGUGCUGCAUAUUAACGAGGUACGAGUCGGAAGAAUGAAUAAAAACUAAAACAACUUUUAACAAUGGAUCUCUUGGCUCUUGCAACGAUGAAGAACGCAGUGAAUUGCGAAAAGUAAUGUGACUUGCAACUCUGUGAAUCAUCGAAUCUUUGAACGCACCUUGCGCUCUCUGGGUCUACUGGAGAGCAUACCUGUUUGAGUAUCAGAAAGUACUCUUCCUUUGGAAGGAGCUGGGGUCUACCUGUGUCUGGGUAUUCCCUGAAAGAGAGGGGCGAUGCAGCAGAACACGUGCGGUAAGAAAAGGUGCUUUUCUCCCACAGGGACUGUGUGCUAGCUGGCCGUCAAGUUGUCACAUUUGUGUUUUUGUGUUUUUGUGUUUGUUAAGCACAAAGCACAAAGCACAAAGCACAAAAGUGUGGACAUGUGGACAAGGACAAAGUGUAUGGUAUGAUCUCAAAUCAGGCAGGACUACCCGCUGAACUUAAGCAUAUCAAUAAGCGGAGGAAAAGAAACUAACAAGGAUUCCCGUAGUAACGGCGAGUGAAGUGGGAAGAGCUCAAAUUUUAAAUCUGGGAGGAAUCCCCGAGUUGUAAUCUAUAGGGGCGUUUUCAGAGGCGACGGCGGCACAAGUUUCCUGGAAAGGGACAUCGGAGAGGGUGAGAAUCCCGUGGGUGGCCGCAGUCUAGCCGCAGUAUGAUACGUCUUCUACGAGUCGAGUUGUUUGGGAAUGCAGCUCAAAAGGGGUGGUAAACUUCAUCCAAGGCUAAAUAAUGGCAAGAGACCGAUAGCGAACAAGUACCGUGAGGGAAAGAUGAAAAGAACUUUGAAAAGAGGGUGAAAAGUGCGUGAAAUUGUUAAAAGGGAAGCGAUCGGGACCAGUAUUUUCUGUGGACUCAGCCAGCAAUGGCGCACUUUCUGCAGAAAAGUCAGCAUCAGUUCAGUCUGCCGGAUAGGGCCGUGGGAAGGUGGAUCGCAGAUCUUUAUAGACCACGGGCGGAACGGGGGACGGGACUGAGGACGGCAGCGUAGCGCAAGCAUUUCCCGAGACAGCCGAUUGCUUCGCGGCGCCUGCAGGCAGACAUUGACUCUGACUGUGGGGGGCCGGGAGGGGAUGUGGGUGGUAGGGCUAGUACGCUUAGGAUGCUGACGAAAUGGGCUUGAACGACCCGUCUUGAAACACGGACCAAGGAGUCCAACAUAUGUGCGAGUAUUAGGGUGGCAAACCCUUUUGCGGAACGAAAGUGAGGGGCGGGAGUUGCGAGAUGCACCGCCGACCGAUCUUGCAGUUUGUGAAUGAAUAGAUUCGAGUAAGAGCAUAUCUGUUGGGACCCGAAAGAUGGUGAACUAUGCCUGAAUAGGGUGAAGCCAGAGGAAACUCUGGUGGAGGCUCGUAGCGGUUCUGACGUGCAAAUCGAUCGUCGAAUUUGGGUAUAGGGGCGAAAGACUAAUCGAACCAUCUAGUAGCUGGUUCCCUC